GAGUUUGAUCCUGGCUCAGAGCGAACGCUGGCGGCAGGCUUAACACAUGCAAGUCGAGCGGGCAUAGCAAUAUGUCAGCGGCAGACGGGUGAGUAACGCGUGGGAACGUACCUUUUGGUUCGGAACAACACAGGGAAACUUGUGCUAAUACCGGAUAAGCCCUUACGGGGAAAGAUUUAUCGCCGAAAGAUCGGCCCGCGUCUGAUUAGCUAGUUGGUGAGGUAAUGGCUCACCAAGGCGACGAUCAGUAGCUGGUCUGAGAGGAUGAUCAGCCACAUUGGGACUGAGACACGGCCCAAACUCCUACGGGAGGCAGCAGUGGGGAAUAUUGGACAAUGGGCGCAAGCCUGAUCCAGCCAUGCCGCGUGAGUGAUGAAGGCCCUAGGGUUGUAAAGCUCUUUUGUGCGGGAAGAUAAUGACGGUACCGCAAGAAUAAGCCCCGGCUAACUUCGUGCCAGCAGCCGCGGUAAUAC
rnacentral:rRNA from 1 species